CUGGAAGGAGGCCGCCCUGGCAUUAAUGCGACGCCUGUUGCCCCUCCCUUCAGCGGCACAGUCCUCAGGAGGGGUGGCCUAGGCUGAAUUCAGGACUGGCAGCGGGUGCCCAUCACAUGCUGGGUUUCUUACAAAAAGCUUAAGGAUGGCCGAGCGCGGCGGCUCAGCCUGUCAUCCCAGCACUUUGGCAGGCCGAGGCGGAUGGAUCACCAGGUCAGGAGACUGAGACCAGCCUGGCUAACAAAGUGAAACCCUGUCUCUACCAAAAAUACAAAAAAUUAGCCGGGCGUGGUGGUGGUCGCCUGUGGUCCCAGCUACUCGGGAGGCUGAGGCAGGAGAAUCACUUGAACCCGGGAGGCAGAGCUUGCAGUGAGCCAGGAUCGCGUCACUGCACUCCAGCCUGGGCAAGAGAGCGAGACUCUGUCUCAAAAAAAAAAAAAAAAAAAGCUUAAGGUUUGCAAUUUGUCCUUAACCUAUUCAAAGAUUUUUCAAAUUAAAAAGUUAAAAAAACAAACAAAAAAAAGGCUGGGUGUGGUGGCUCACGCCUGUCAUCCCAGCACUUUGGGAUGCUGAGGCCGGUGGAUUGUUUGUUUGAGACUAGCCCGGGCGAGGUGGUGAAAUCCCAUCUCUACUAAAGAUAACAAAAAUCGGCCAGGCGCACUGGUGUGUGCCUGUAAUCCCAGCACUUUGGGAGGCGGAGACAGCAGGAUCAAUGCCCAGGAGGUUGAGGGAGACUGUACCACUGCACUAAAGCCUGGGUGACAGAGACCCUGUCUCAGAAAAAAAAAAAAAAAAAAAAAAAGGAAGAAAAAAAGUGGCAAAGGCAGGGCCAGGCAGCACUGUGUCUAUACACCAGCCAGAGGAUGCUGGAAAGCAAAUGCCAAUGGAUGCCCCUCAGCUCAGAGGCUGACCCCACGCCACUGCAGACACCAGACCCCAGCCCCUGGGCCUGGCUCCAGAAUGCAGAGUUGAGGAGGGAGACUUUGCUACCCACACACAUCCCGACAACCAUGUCCCUAAGCUGUGGGCCAGCAGUGCCCGGCAUAGCUCUAUUGAAACAUCCAGGAGGCCAGGCACGGUGGCGCAUGCCUGUAAUCCCAGCACUUUGGAAGGCUGAGGCGGGUGGAUCACCUGAGGUCAGGAGUUCAAGACAAGCCUGGCCAACAUGGUGAAACCCUGUCUCUACUAAAAAAUACAAAAAUUACCUGAGCGCAGUGGCGCGUGCCUGUAAUCCCAGCUACUUGGGAGGCUGAGGCAGGAGAAUGGCUUAAGCCUAGGAGGCGGAGGUUGCAGUGAGCAGAGAUUGCACCACUGCACUCCAUCCUGGGCUACAGAACGAGACUCUGUCUCGAAAAAAACAAAAGAAAAAGCAAUAUCCGGGAAUAAACGCCUGCUACCCACGGCAAAACACAGCAAGCGCAGACCGGAUGCACGCAGGGCCCUGAGGGGCAGAGGCCUCGUGGAGCCGACCCUCAC
rnacentral:lncRNA from 1 species